UACAGAGGGGGCGAGCGUUGUUCGGAAUUACUGGGCGUAAAGGGCGCGUAGGCGGCCUCUUAAGUCGAACGUGAAAUCCCCGGGCUCAACCCGGGAACUGCGUCCGAUACUGGGGGGCUUGAAUCCGGGAGAGGGAUGUGGAAUUCCAGGUGUAGCGGUGAAAUGCGUAGAUAUCAGGAGGAACACCUGCGGUGUAGACGGCUUACGUGGACCAUCACUGACGCUGAGGCACGAAAGCGUGGGUAGCAAACAGG
rnacentral:rRNA from 1 species